CCCUUAGAUGUUCUGGGCCGCACGCGCGCUACACUGAUGCAUUCAACGAGUCUAAAACCUGGUCUGAUAGGGCUGGGUAAUCUUUUGAAUGUGCAUCGUGAUUGGGAUAGAUGAUUGCAAUUCUUCAUCUUCAACGAGGAAUGCCUAGUAAACGCAAGUCAUCAGCUUGCAUUGAUUACGUCCCUGCCCUUUGUACACACCGCCCGUCGCUCCUACCGAUUGAAUGUUCCGAUGAAUACCAUGGACUGAGAGUAUGAAUGGGUUCGCCUAUUCCUGCUUCUCGGGAAGUGGAGUAAAUCUUAACAUUUAGAGGAAGGAGAAGUCGUAACA
rnacentral:rRNA from 1 species